rnacentral:rRNA from 1 species
AUAACUACUGGAAACGGUAGCUAAUACCGCAUAACGUCGCAAGACCAAAGAGGGGGACCUUCGGGCCUCUUGCCAUCAGAUGUGCCCAGAUGGGAUUAGCUAGUAGGUGGGGUAACGGCUCACCUAGGCGACGAUCCCUAGCUGGUCUGAGAGGAUGACCAGCCACACUGGAACUGAGACACGGUCCAGACUCCUACGGGAGGCAGCAGUGGGGAAUAUUGCACAAUGGGCGCAAGCCUGAUGCAGCCAUGCCGCGUGUAUGAAGAAGGCCUUCGGGUUGUAAAGUACUUUCAGCGGGGAGGAAGGCGUUGAGGUUAAUAACCUCAGCGAUUGACGUUACCCGCAGAAGAAGCACCGGCUAACUCCGUGCCAGCAGCCGCGGUAAUACGGAGGGUGCAAGCGUUAAUCGGAAUUACUGGGCGUAAAGCGCACGCAGGCGGUCUGUCAAGUCGAAUGUGAAAUCCCCGGGCUCAACCUGGGAACUGCAUUCGAAACUGGCAGGCUAGAGUCUUGUAGAGGGGGGUAGAAUUCCAGGUGUAGCGGUGAAAUGCGUAGAGAUCUGGAGGAAUNACCNGGNUGGCGAAGGCGGCCCCCUGGACAAAGACUGACGCUCAGGUGCGAAAGCGUGGGGAGCAAACAGGAUUAGAUACCCUGGUAGUCCACGCCGUAAACGAUGNUCGACUUGGAGGUUGUGCCCUUGAGGCGUGGCUUCCGGAGCUAACGCGUUAAGUCGACCGCCUGGNGNNGNAGUACGGCCGCAAGGUUAAAACUCAAAUGAAUUGACGGGGGCCCGCACAAGCGGUGGAGCAUGUGGUUUAAUUCGAUGCAACGCGAAGAACCUUACCUACUCUUGACAUCCAGAGAACUUUCCAGAGAUGGAUUGGUGCCUUCGGGAACUCUGAGACAGGUGCUGCAUGGCUGUCGUCAGCUCGUGUUGUGAAAUGUUGGGUUAAGUCCCGCAACGAGCGCAACCCUUAUCCUUUGUUGCCAGCGGUCCGGCCGGGAACUCAAAGGAGACUGCCAGUGAUAAACUGGAGGAAGGUGGGGAUGACGUCAAGUCAUCAU